CAGCAGCCGCGGUAAUACGUAGGGGGCAAGCGUUGUCCGGAUUUAUUGGGCGUAAAGAGCGUGUAGGCGGCCGCACAGGUCCGUUGUGAAAACUGGAGGCUUAACCUUCAGACGUCGAUGGAAACCGUGCGGCUAGAGUCCGGAAGAGGAGAAUGGAAUUCCUGGUGUAGCGGUGAAAUGCGCAGAUAUCAGGAAGAACACCCGUGGCUAAGGCGGUUCUCUAGUACGGUACUGACGCUGAGACGCGAAAGCGUGGGGAGCGAACAGG
rnacentral:rRNA from 1 species